rnacentral:tRNA from 1 species
GCCGUUUUAGCUCAGUGGUAGAGCGUGUGGCUUUUAACCGCGUGGUCGUGGGUUUUUGAUCCCCACAGAUGGCG